GCGGCAACAGCUCAAAUUUGAAAUCUGGCCCCUAGGGUCCGAGUUGUAAUUUGUAGAGGAUGCUUUUGGUGAGGUGCCGCCCGAGUUCCCUGGAACGGGACGCCGCAGAGGGUGAGAGCCCCGUCUGGCUGGCCACCGAGCCUCUGUAAAGCUCCUUCGACGAGUCGAGUAGUUUGGGAAUGCUGCUCAAAAUGGGAGGUAUAUGUCUUCUAAAGCUAAAUAUUGGCCAGAGACCGAUAGCGCACAAGUAGAGUGAUCGAAAGAUGAAAAGCACCUUGAAAAGAGGGUUAAACAGUACGUGAAAUUGUUGAAAGGGAAGCGCUUGUGACCAGACUUGGGCGCGGCGGAUCAUCCGGGGUUCUCCCCGGUGCACUUCGCCGUGUUCAGGCCAGCAUCAGUUCGGCGCGGGGGAAAAAGGCUUCGGGAACGUGGCUCCUCCGGGAGUGUUAUAGCCCGUUGCAUAAUACCCUGCGCUGGACUGAGGACCGCGCAUCUGCAAGGAUGCUGGCGUAAUGGUCACCAGCGACCC
rnacentral:rRNA from 1 species